UUGAUUACUGUCCUGAUACAUUGCCUACCAGAGCUGUUACUCCUCUUCCUCUACAUCUCAAGUUAAGUAGCUCUGGCAGUCCACCUUUGUCUGAUCCAGAAGUGUAUAGGUCUCUACUUGGUAAGCUCAAUUUUUUGACAAAUACACGGCCUGAUCUGAGUUACACAGUACAGCUAUUAAUCCAGUUUAUGCAUGCCCCCAACACUACUCAUUAUGAAGCUCUUCUACAUACUCUUAGUUAUGUAAAACAUACUGCUGGACAAGGGAUUUUACUACAAGGUGCUGAUAAUCUUACUUUACAAGCAUAUUCUGAUUCUGAUUGGGCAGCAUGCCCUGAUUCUCGUCGAUCAGUAACAAGCUAUGUGUUAAUGUUUGGUAAUUCUCCUAUCGUUUGGAAGUCCAAGAAGCAAUCCACAGUGUCUAAAUCUAGCUCAGAAGCAGAGUAUAGGGCCAUGGCAUCUGCUGCUUCUGAGGUGACUUGGGCUGUGCGACUCCUACAAGAACUGGGUGUUACUAAUUUGUGUCAUGUUACUCUGCAUUGUGAUAAUCAGUCGGCAAUUCAUAUUGCCAAGAACCCAGUGUUUCAUGAGCGUACGAAACACAUAGAAGUGGACUGUCAUUUCACUCGUGACAAGGUGUUUGAAGGGCUUAUUCAACUUACUUAUCUUCCUACCAAGCAUCAGUUAGCAGACAUCUUUACAAAGACAGUUCCUUCUCCUCAGCUGCAAUAUUUAUCUUCCAAGUUGGGAAUGUUUGACACUCAACAACAGUGUUCACAUUCCAACUUGAGGGAGGCUAUUGGUAGUAUAGAUAAUACAGCUGUACAUAAAGUAGUGGGUAGUUCAGAUGACAGCUAAGCACAACAAACUUUCCCUCCAAGCUAGUGCCUAGUUAGUUAGUCUUUCCUGUAUAUAUAGCUAGCAUAGUGUAGCAUUUGUACUCACUCUGUUCUUUUGUAUAGUUUUCAUUUUCUGCAAUGCAAGAUAGUUCUUCUCUCUCUUAGCAUAAAUAUAGAAAUAUAACACAAUUCAAACAAUUAAGCCUUCUUUCUCAAUGAUCCAUCUCAGAGAGACAUUGGAUGAAUCACCGGUUGAUGCAGAUGCAGUUGAAAGGGGCUUUAGCUUGAACGCUGACCCAACAGGCCUGCCAAGGAUUCACGGUCUACCAUCAUCAUCUAUUUAUACAACAAGUGGUGGUUCAACGGAAUCCUGCACAGCUUCUCCCAAGAACCCAAGGUCUCGUGAAUCAUCCCAUUCUGGAGAACCCAAAUUAUUUGCCAGCUCUGUUCAGCUCCUCGCUUAAGUGGUACUUCUAAUUAAUCUUGUAAAUCUGCUUGAUUGGUAGGUGAAAUAAUAUUUGCUGGGAACGGGCUACUUUGUUGAUUACUUUUCCAUGACCAUGUAUUUCCAGCAUCUUCAAUAUAGUUUGCUGAAUAUUGCAUUGUUGCAGAGGAACUCUUUAUAAAAUAAUAGGAGUAGUUCACUCGAGUUUAAUGAAAAUUUAUACAAGUUGGCAACUAGUUUAUAACAAUUGUAACUACCUGCUUUGAUUAUUGUAUUUUGAAAUCCUUGAAGGA